rnacentral:rRNA from 1 species
GGACGCGCUUCGAGGAUAACAUGGAUACGUACAAUCGGCAUCGUAGUAAGUGGUCACAUGCCAGAGACGUGAACCUGGGAACUGAGGAUAACCGGUAGCUCAUGAUUCCUGAAUGUUUCAUGGCGAAUCUAUAUGCCUUGAUGAACUGGGCGAUCAGGCUGUGUGAGGUAAUGCCCACCAAACUGUUACCGGUACGGGCUUUGAGAGGAGGAGCCGGAGAUGGGCACUGAGACAAGGGCCCAGGCCUAUGGGCGCAGCAGGCGCGAAACCUCUGCAAUAGGCGAAAGCUGACAGGGUUACUCUGAGUGACUUUCGCUAAGAAAGUCUUUGGCACCUCUAAAAAGGGUGCGGAAUAAGGGGUGGGCAAGUCUGGUGUCAGCCGCCGCGGUAAUACCAGCACCCCGAGUGGUCGGGACGAUUAUUGGGCCUAAAGCAUCCGUAGCCGGUCCUGCAAGUCUUCCGUUAAAUCCAGCUGCUCAACAGAUGGGCUGCGGGAGAUACUACAGGGCUAGGAGGCGGGAGAGGCAAGCGGUACUUUAUGGGUAGGGGUAAAAUCCGCUGAUCCAUAGAAGACCACCAGUGGCGAAGGCGGCUUGCCAGAACGCGCUCGACGGUGAGGGAUGAAAGCUGGGGGAGCAAACCGGAUUAGAUACCCGGGUAGUCCCAGCUGUAAACGAUGCAGACUCGGUGAUGGGUUGGCCUUGCGCCAACCCAGUGCCGCAGGGAAGCCGUUAAGUCUGCCGCCUGGGGAGUACGGUCGCAAGACUGAAACUUAAAGGAAUUGGCGGGGGAGCACCACAAGGGGUGAAGCCUGCGGUUCAAUUGGACUCAACGCCGGU